rnacentral:antisense_RNA from 2 species
CUUGACCGAGCCCACCCACAACGGGUCGCUGUCGCGCUCCUCUCCGUAGGCGGCCAACAACGCUUCAGCCUC